AGGGAACCAGCAGAGCGCAGCUCUCCAGUCAAUUGGUUCCAAGCAUCUGGCAUAAUGGAAUGUGCAGUGGACAUUCCCUCAGGUGAGGACGAGGCCACGGAGAGGGAUGACCUCAACGCCAAGGAAGAGGGCGUUGACACCCCUCACAAGAAGAACAAGAAGCACAGGAAACACAAGAGCAAGAAGAAGAAGCGGCGCCGGAAAGGAGACAAGGAGAGCAGCUCUGAAUCUGGUGCAGAAUCUGAGGCGGAGCAGCCCCCCUCCCAGAGGGCGGUGAGGAACACCAGAGCCAGUGCCAGACUAGCAUCUACCACGGGGGCUGCAGAUCAAGUCGGGCCAAAGGAGGGCAGCAAAAAAGACGGCAUCACAGAAUCGGAGGUAGACGCAAAGACCAAAAAGCACAAAAAGCACGCUUCCAAAAAGAAGAAAAAGAAGAAGAAGAAGGACGAGAAGCAGGACCGCAGAUCCCCGUCCCACUCGGCGUCUGAGAGCAGCUCCGCGUCGGGCUCUGACUCGGAGCCGGACGAAGGCAAGGGGCCGCGCGAUGCGCCCGAGGCCGUGUCCAAGCUGCUGCCCAAGGGCAAGCGAGGGGCAGAGAAACUCGAAGCGCCUCACGCCAAGCAGGACGAGAGCACGGAGAACAACGUUUUCUCCUCCACAGGGAAGAACGGCAGCACCAACGGUUCGGUGCAGGUGAUGUCGCCCUCUGCUGGCCAGGACCAAGCCCACCCGGCUGGGGUUGACGUCAGAAUCGAGGGGAACCACGGUGAUGGCAGUUUCAGCCACGCGCUCCCCGACAUCAUACCUAAACAGGAAGGCACAGCGUCACAAGACGACCCUGCUCUAAAAGAUGAGGUCAACGUGAACCAAAGGGCCCCGGGGGCAGAGCGGGAGGGCUCCAGGUCCCCGUCCGCGUCCCCCCAGCGUGCCCCUGGGAUCAAACGCUCCGGGUCGAGUCACAGUCGGUCUUCCACGCCCAGCCCAAGGCGCCAGCAGACAAGGGCUCCAGCCGCCACAGACAAGGAUUCUAAAGAGCGCUCCCAAACGAGAUCGAGGUCCUCAUCGGAGGCCAACGGGUCCGUCUCACCGCCACAGACCAGGGAGCGCUCGCGCUCCACCUCCCACUCCCCCAAGUCUGAGAGGAAGUCUGCUUCUCUGUCUCCCAAAAGACCGCUCCGCCACACCGGCUCCCCGAAGAGAGACAGGAAGCUGUCCCGCUCCACGUCGCGCUCCCUGUCCCCCAAGAGAAAGAAGAAGGCCAAGUCCCCCAAGAGGUCCAAGCGCCAGUCGUUAUCCGCUUCUCCCAAGCGAAGGAGGAGGACGUUGUCGGCGUCACCCAAGCGGCGGCGCCCGAGCCCCCCGAGGAGGAAGCUCUCUCCUAAACGCGGGCUGCGUCGGUCCCCUUCCCCGCGUAGAAACCGGCGGUCCAAGUCCAGGUCCGCUGCCCGCCGCUCCAGGACGCGGUCUCCUCGGCGUACCGCCGUCGGCCGCCGCUCGCACUCUCGUUCGGUGGGCCGGACCCGGCGGCCCGCUAGGCGGUCCCGCACCCCGGUGAGGCGGGGGGGCGGCAGGCGCUCCGGGAGCCGCUCACCCGAGACCCGGCGGCGGAGGUCUCCGCUGCCACCGCCCUCUCGGACGCGGCGUUCCCGCUCAAGGUCCACGAGGCGUUCGAGGCGCACACGCUCACGCUCCGUCGUGGUGCUCAGACGCAAGCGCCGCACCAAGUCCCGGAGUCCCCGGAAAAAGAGUAAGUCCCGAACACCGCCUUCCCGCCGGCGUUCCAAGUCUAGGUCCCCUGGGGCCCGGAGGCGAUCGAACUCCCCCAGCAAGAGGAACCGCUCGCCGCCCAGGUCCUUGAAGCGCUCCAAGUCGCGCUCGUUGUCAAGGCGAUACAGGUCAAAGUCCCACACACCGGCCCCUGCCGGGAGGCAGUCCAAGUCCCCCAGUAAGAGCUUGAGGAGGUCGCUGUCUAAGUCCGCCUCGCCUGCCCCGAACCGCUCUCGGUCUGGCUCCAGUGAGAGGGCGUCUGGGAGCGCCUCCCCAGGGCAGGACAGGGAGCCCUCCCCCUCGCCGUCCAAGGCAGAGACGGCAGAGGACACUGAAGGAGCUGCAGACGCCGCGCCCGCAGCAGGCCCCUGGAAGCCCCUGCCCUUAUCCAACGCUGACCCCAGCGCCGCGCCCGCCGGCUCCUCGCCCCGGCCCACACCCAACCACCAGGGGGCCCGCUCUCCUUCCGAGCGGGACGGCUCCCGCUCCCCUUCUGCCUCUCCUGAGUGCGCGGCGGGCCCCGCCGGCUCCGGGGCCUCUGGAGACUCCACAGGGGAGGAGGAGGAGGCGGAGGAGGUAGGGGCUGAGAAGGCAGCUUCUCCUCUAAAGCCCAAGCAGCCCUGGAGCUCCUCGGGCUCCGUCUCCCCCGUCCGGACGGAGAAGAAGCAGCACUCCCCGUCUCGCUCCCCCGCUGCCCCGCCCCACAGGAAGACGUCGCCCUCCCCCAGGCGCUCGUCCUCCAAGAGGAGGUCGGUGUCCAAGAGGAGGUCGGUGUCCAAGAGGAGGUCGGUGUCCAAGAGGAGGUCGGUGUCCAAGAGGAGGUCGGUGUCCAGGAGGAAGCAGUCCAGGUCCAAGUCUCCAGUCAAGAAGAAGGCGUCACCGCCCGAGCGCAAAAAGCGCCGCUCCAAGUCCCGGAGCCCCGCCCAUCGUCGGCGGGCCAGCCGCUCGCGCUCGGCUGCGCGCCGGCGGAAGUCCCGCUCCAAGUCCCGGGCCAGGACCCGCCGAUCCAAGUCCCGCUCCCCUGCACGCAAGAGGCGCAGCCGCUCCCCCGCCGGCCGUGCCCGCAAGCGAUCCAAGACCCCCAAGCGAUCCAAGAGCCGCUCGGCUGGACGGCGGAAGCGCUCACACUCGCGCUCCCCGAGCCGCCGCCGCCGCUCACGCUCCAGGGGGCGGGGCCGGCGGCCUGCAUUCCGUAGCCGCUCCUUCGACCGGCGGGACCGGUGGAAGAGAGAGCCCAGCCACUCCCCCGUGCUCAUCCUACGCAAGCAGCGUCGCUCCGGGUCCCGCUCACGCCGCAGCGGCAGCAAAACCCCGCCGCGGCUCACAGACCUGGAUAAGGACCAGCUGCUGGAGAUCGCCAAGGCCAACGCGGCUGCCAUGUGCGCCAAGGCUGGGGUGCCCAUCCCCGAGAGCCUGCGACCCAAAGCCAUCCUCCAGCUCCCGCUCCCCACGCCCUCCCCCACCCCGCUCUCCCUGCCCCUCCCCCUGCCCAUGCCCAUGGGCAUGGGGAUGGGCAUGGGCAACAUGGGGCAAAUGGGCAUGGGCAACAUGGGGCCAAUGGGCAUGGGCAGCAUGUCCAAUAUGACCAUGAGCGCCGCCAUGGCCAGCAUGACAGCGGCAACCAUGACGGCGGCCCUGUCCAACAUGGGUGCACUGGCCUCCAUGCCCCCCCUGGCCCCGCUGCCUACCAUCACCAACAAGCCCCCGCCCUGCCUGGCGCCGCCCGCACCCCCCCUCAACCUGGGCCACAUCGAGGAGGUGAAGAGGAAGGUGACCCAGCAGGCCAACAUACACACCAUCAAGGAGCUCACCGAGAAGUGCAAGAUGAUCGCCAACAGCAAGGAGGAGAUGGCCAUCGCUAAACCCCACGUCUCGGAUGAUGAGAGCUAGAGCAUCGUGUGUCCUCGCGGUGCCGGAGCUCCCUCUAAUGGACCGGAGUGGAUGUUCUGUGUUUUAUAGUUUGGACUUGAGGACUAACCUAUCCCACAGUUCGCCCGACUCCACCUCCUCUAUCAGUGACAAGAGCACCCUAGUUGUCAUGGUAACAGUAGAGGAGCAGCAGUCACACCUGGUUUAUUUGUGCGUGUGUGUGCGGUGCACGAGGGACCGGCGAGGAGACGCUGCAGUGACCCCACUGGGGACACAUUCCG
rnacentral:lncRNA from 1 species